AACGAACGCUGGCGGCAUGCCUAACACAUGCAAGUCGAACGGGAUCCUAGCUUGCUAGGUGAGAGUGGCGGACGGGUGAGUAACACGUGGGAAUCUGCCUUUUGGUUCGGGAUAACCGCGGGAAACUGCGGCUAAUACCGAAUGCCCUCGUGAGAGGAAAGAUUUAUCGCCAGAAGAGGAGCCCGCGUCCGAUUAGGUAGUUGGUGGGGUAAAGGCCUACCAAGCCGACGAUCGGUAGCUGGUCUGAGAGGAUGAUCAGCCACACUGGGACUGAGAUACGGCCCAGACUCCUACGGGAGGCAGCAGUGGGGAAUAUUGGACAAUGGGGGCAACCCUGAUCCAGCAAUGCCGCGUGAGUGAUGAAGGCCUUAGGGCUGUAAAGCUCUUUUGCCAGGGAAGAUGAUGACUGUACCUGGAGAAUAAGCCCCGGCUAACUUCGUGCCAGCAGCCGCGGUAAU
rnacentral:rRNA from 1 species